rnacentral:lncRNA from 1 species
UUGCUUUAAAGAUUAUUCUGUUUAAAAAUGACACAUCUCAAAAUUAACCAUUACGAUUAACUAUUCCAGGUUAGUUUGUCCAGGUCAGGAGAGAAUAAAGCACAGUGCAGCUCCCUUAACCUUGGAGUCAGGUUUGAAUGACAGAGUCCGUCGCCAGCAAUGGACAUGUAAAUAACCAUCCAAGAAAUUCUAAGGACAAACCCCAGACUGCUUCUGUGUGGACAAGCCGGUGUGGAGUCACAGCCUAAGGAGGGGCAGCAGCCUGUGUCCCCGGUGCUCUCGAGGAUUGAGGAUGGAGCACCUUCUUAAGCAGUGCCACCAUGUAGCUGGCUUUCUUCUAUGCUGGCAGCACUGUCAUCACAAUCUAUCCAGACAGCGGCUCACAAACAACACUCACAGCCAGAACUCAAGAGGCAGCCUAGCUUCCCACCACAAAGAAACCACUUUAUUCCUGUAAUUUAGUGAAAGCUGUAGGAAAAUACAGUCCAGAGGAAAAGGAGCUCGCAUGGAAAACAGGCCAGACCAUAGGAUAGACAGCAAUACCUCCUCACAGGCAAAACAACAAAGCAAUACAGAGAAGCAGAGAAGAGGAAAGGCAGGAGUGGGGAGAGGGCAGCUAACAGCUACUACUACAGGUCACAGACCUUUUAUUAAAUCUUUAAAAUAAAAGUAUUACUAACAAUACGAACACUGCAGUUUCCUUUCUCCAGUUUGUUUUUUGUUUUUGUUUUUUUACAAUGAAUACCCUACUCAUUUGGAAAAACAAACACUAAAGUACCCAACACCUCAAAUGAUCCAUCAAGUACUGCACUAUUUCAUCUGUCAUAAACAGUAAAACAUUGAUAAUGGGUCAGGAACACUGUAGAUUAGAUGAGUCUUUACAGUUUACUGUCAGAAACUUCACCUCUACAAUAUUGACAUUUCAUUAUUACAACU